UACGAAGGGGGCUAGCGUUGUUCGGAAUUACUGGGCGUAAAGCGCACGUAGGCGGAUAUUUAAGUCAGGGGUGAAAUCCCGGGGCUCAACCCCGGAACUGCCUUUGACACUGGGUAUCUAGAGUAUGGUAGAGGUGAGUGGAAUUCCGAGUGUAGAGGUGAAAUUCGUAGAUAUCUGGAGGAACACCGGUGGCGAAGGCGGCAUCCUGGACCGGCAUUGACGCUGAGGAGCGAAAGCCAGGGGAGCAAACGGG
rnacentral:rRNA from 1 species